rnacentral:rRNA from 1 species
AUACGGAGGAUGCGAGCGUUAUCCGGAUUUAUUGGGUUUAAAGGGUGCGUAGGCUGUGCGUUAAGUCAGGGGUGAAAUGCCGUCGCUCAACGACGGAGCUGCCCUUGAUACUGGCGUGCUGGAGUACGGAUGCCGUUGGAGGAAUGAGUGGUGUAGCGGGGAAAUGCUUAGAUAUCACUCAGAACACCGAUUGCGAAGGCAUCUGACGAAUCCGUCACUGACGCUGAGGCUCGAAAGCGUGGGGAUAGAACAGGAUUAGAUACCCUGGUAUUCCACGCCGUAAACGAUGAUGACUAACCGUCGGCGAUAGACAGCCGGUGGCCAAGCGAAAGCGAUAAGUCAUCCACCUGGGGAGUACGUCGGCAACGAUGAAACUCAAAGGAAUUGACGGGG